rnacentral:lncRNA from 1 species
AACUAAUCCAUCUAAAUGGCAUGAUUAGUCUAAUUGUUGACAAAAAGAACUAUUGUUUUAAUACUUUGAAAAGUAAUUACGAAUUUUUUUUUGAUAAUCGUGGAGAUCCCAAAGACUUUAUACUUUUAUAAACCCACAAAAUCUUACAUCUGAAUACCAACUAAUCCAUCUAAAUGGCACGAUUAGUUGGUUAAUGCAAAUCAAACUCAUGAUUAAAAUUCCAGCUUGAACUCAUUUACCGUUAAGCCGAGAAGACUUGGUUAUUAAUUACAAGUUCUUUAUUGCAUCAAACUUCAAUCAGUUUCUAAUUCAUAAUUUCAUGAGUGACAUCAAAACUAUAAUUCCGCAGCUC